UCACGAUGGUGGACGUGUACCGCUCUGAUCACCAGUAGGGACGAGAAUCUUCUGCUGACAUAGGCUGACUGCCCACUUCAUUUCUCUGUGAAUUACCUAUUUGUAUUCUCAAUUCAGUUUCAUGUUGUCUUCAUUGAUUGCUGGAAGGUCUUUAUUCCACACGCUGGUAAUUUGUCUGUUGCUCACAUUCCACGGACUUUCUCCUAGUCUGCUGUGUGCAUAUUUGUACACAUUGAACUCAGGACUGUGCUGUGUGUUACCCCAAGCACUGCAGCUUACUUAGUCACUCUUGCUCACAUUGCAGGAGAAGGGAUGGGGUCGCCCCAAGUCUCACACACAUGGCGGAGCCUAGAUUGGAAGCCUGGCUGCCUCCAGACUAGCCUUACGUCCCUCUUGACCUAUUUCUAUUCUAGUGUCCCCAGCUGGUCAAAUGCAAGGCGGUUUUGUUUUGUUUUGUUUUUCAAUCUCAGGCCAUUUUGCAACAGAACACUGUCAUGAGAACAAGUGUCAUUUUCAGCCAGUAAAUGCUCUGUGUACUUUCUGUGAAUGUGACUUGUGGCAGGGUGCAGCAGGUCUAGGAAGCAUACAGCAUGCCACAACCCUCUCAGAGGCCAGAGCUAACACACUAGCAGUGCUCUACAGGGCUCCCGAAGGCCUGGGCAUGGACGUGCCAAGAGUCAGAGAGGCCGGGGGCCUGCAGGCAGACAGAGUCCCCUCACUUGGCAUUGGUGCCCAUGGGGGAUUUGUGUUCUUCAGCACCUCCGGGACGGUCUCCCCACCACUGUCCGCAUUACCAUGUGUACCCCUGGGCCUUGAGCUGAGUACCAUUGGCUCCACCCCAUUCCCCGUACUGGCCUCCCUGAUCUUCACUUUUGUCUGGUCCUCCUGGAUUCCAACAGAGCAGUCUUCUGUCUAUGCCAGUCUGAUACACUAGAGGAGCCUGGUGGAAAUCAGGGCCUUGUGAUCACAGACCAUGGUGGUGAGCUUACCCUCAAGGGCCCCUCUUUGGAUCACGUUCCAUCCACCUCCUUCCAAGGUCCAAUCCCAGUUUCAGAGUAGAGCACACGGGCAUCUCUCCCAUUUGUUGGCAUGGGAGACUUGGUCUCCCUCCCAGGCUGUUGGAAUCAAUCGUUGCGAUCCCACUAGCACCUCAUGACUUUCCUUACCCCUGGCUGAUGCAUACUUUCCCUUUAAAUUUGACUUUAUAUACUUGGGGUUUUCUUUUGUUGCUUACCUCUGCUUUUUAAAAUUUUGGAGAAGCCCCAGUUUCAGAGAGAACCAGGACUCUGGAUAUGCCUUUGUGUCUUCUACCUGUUUCCUCUGGACAAAUAAAAAUAUCUGAUACCUGGUUGGCUGCACAGUAAAUCACAAUGUUCUCACUCUCUGAUCUCUAACCUCUAUUCAUCCUUCUAAAAUCCUUUUUGGAAGCAAGGAAGUAUUAAAUAAUUCAGAUGUCACCUUCUCUGUAGAAUCUCCCCCCAAACUCGCUCUGCUCCAUUAUCGGAAUUUAUCACUCUCUUCUUCUGCCUUCCCACUGUAACUUUUUCUUCCUAGCACAGCACUUAAUCUACGGUAUCACUGUGAUUUAUUUACUUUUCUGUUCCCUGUUCUGUUCUGGUCCCUAGACAGGGAGCUCCUAAGGACCAGGCUCGUUCACUCUGGUUGCUGCAUUCACCGUAGUGCCCAGUGCUGGGUGAGUUGCUAUGCUGAUUGUGUGAAGGACGAGGCGAGAUGCCCCGAAGAAAGAGGUGGAGGAAAGUGGGCACGGGUGCCACGGGAGGAAGAAGACGCCAGUGGGUAGGAAGUCUGGGCUGGAGGAAAGAGCUGUGGAGUGGGGAGAGGCCUGGCACAGGCCCAGGUCGGGGCUCCAUCUCUUCUCCCGGUGCUUCACUCUGAGGCCCAGGGGGCGAACACUGGACUCCAGUUCCUGCAGAACGUUGCUGAUAUCCUCUCAAAUCUUAUUUACCAUCAGUAAAAUGGGAUUGCUCACACUGCUGUCCGGGGGAGUGGAAAGGCUUAAGCACAGCAGUGUAACAUGAAAAACGGUCGUGAAUUAGAGGGAUGCAUGUUGAGAAGAGGAAGCCAGCUCUCAGGAUUAGGCCUCUGGGGCCAGGGUGUGGAAUCAGUGCGCAGCUGGGACUGGAACCCAGGUGCCCCAAUUCGAAGUCAAGGAUCCUUCUUUCCACAGCAGCAGGCCGUCCCCAGGGUGUGCAGAGUGCGUGCCAGAUUUUCAGCAAUUCCAAGGAAUUCUUCCUGCACCCACUCACACACAAAGCCCAUCCUCACAUCUAGCGCCAAGGCGAGCCAGUUGGAUGCCGAGACACACAGGAAACAACUGAGCUAGGAAGUAAACUGAUCCAAGUGCUGAAAAGAUAAUUUGUCCAAAACCAGACCCCUGGUGAAGCUUCACUGUGUUAUUUAUGAGCUAAGGGCAGGAGUAUGUGGAAACACAGGGUGUUGGGACAAUAACAGAAGGUCUAGAAGGCCAUUCCUGGUGCAAAAAGCAGGAACAGAGGGCCUUUCCUCCCUAGACUUCGAGCUUCUCUUCUAGGCUGGUUUUUCAGAAACACAAUCCAUCAACUUUGGAGUCUCACUUUCAGUGCCACAGCAGAUGAGAGGAGGAGGCAGAGGUGCCAUGCACAGGGCAGUGCUUGCAUCUCCCCACAGGAGCCCCGGGAGGAGCAGUUUCUACCUCAGUUGGUUUCUGUCUCUGGUUCUUAGGUCCCCACAGUCCUCUGUCCAAUGACCUGGAAACUGCCAGGCUGUCUGAGCAGAAAGAGCUCUGCCUGCUUGGUUUCUUGCCAAAGAGAGAACCAAGCUUCUCCAUGGGUAGAGACUCUGGGUGGCACGUGGUUGAGCCCUCCAAGGCCUGAAUAGCACUGACCUUUCAUGCAGGUGAGGCUCACAGGUGCACAGAACUCAAAACUCAUCACCCAUGUGUGGUGGCUGGCAUGUACAUACUGAGUAAACUCAGAGGCACCCUGGCCUGCCCGGGAGCUCCAGGGCCAGUGCUUGGCUGUGUGGCAUAGCUGCAGUGGACAUUUUUGGACAGAUCCCAAGAAAUGAUACUGGAUUUGCUUCCGGGAAGAGUUCUAAGGUACCAGGAAAAGCAUGGGAGGAAUCUUACAAUGUACAAUAAACUCGUUUUUUCCUUUUGAAGUUAGACUCUAACGCAUGCAAUUAACUACUCAGUACUAACCAAAUCAGUUCACAUCCAAAAGAAGAUGAACUGCAAAUACAGACCUCAGGGCCCUGCUCUAGUUCCACUGCAUGAAACUCUCAAGAAAUCAAGGCAUCUGUUCUUAGCUAAUUCUCUGAAGUGGAGCUGAUUCCAGGGUCAAGAGCUCCUGCCCUGCAGGGCAGCUCUUCCCUCUCCACUGAGGACCCUGUCUUGCAGAAAAGAGGGCUGAGCUCUGAGAGUUAUUGGCUGGGCCAAGUCACAAAGAUGUUUAGAAAUGAAAAGCAAUAAAAUCUGGGUUUCCGGAUCCCGAGGUCCACCAUGCUCACCUCCCCCAGCCGCAGCACCUUUCUCUCCCAAUUCUACUUCUCUCUAAGUCUCUUCAUGCAAAGAAGACUUUGGUUGUCCCAGGCCCUUUCCCCUUCAAAACCCUCAUUUUUCAAGCUGGCCCGGGGACCUGAGUGAGGAUGUGUCUAAGUGGGCACUCAUGGCUCAAUGAGCAUUGCAUGGAACUUUCUGUAAAUAUCUGCAGAAAACCACAACCCAAAACAAAACAAAAAACUCAGCAUGUUUUCCUUCCAUAAAGUUAUAACGGGGGAUUCAGCAGGACAUCCCUUUCCCCAAAAUUCAGUCCUAGGAGCCAGAGGAGGAAAGCGCUAGACUGAAGUGGCAGGAGCCAGGUUUCAGGGUUUACUCUGUAGAAGCUGCUCCUUCUUUGGCUCAUCUACAUCGGAAACAUGAGGGCAUUAGAUCGAAUAAUCGCAAAGGUCCUCUUUGCCUCGUAAAAUCCUAUUAUAUCACCCUUGCCUCGGUUUUUUCUGUUUCAAUCCCUGUUUUCAGUGCAGGCACUGGGAAACAGUUCCCGAAAACACUGAAACGUUUGCAGCCCUGAACCCCAGGAAUGUGAUCUGGGGUGAGCAGCAAGGGGUCCACAUGGAAUAACUUCAUUCCUGACAGAGGAGAGAGGAGCAGCAACCCAGGGAAGGCGGACACAGAAUCGCAGAGGGCCCACAGCCGGAGGAGGGGAGAGUGUGUGUCAGGAAACGGGUCAGCAAGAGAGGUCCCCCAGUUUUUCUUCACUUGCAGCUUCCCUGGACCAUGCAGAGCAUUGAUUUAAGGGUUCCCUACUACUCGAGUGCAGGUGUUCUUCAGAUUUGCGGUCUGAUCAGUUGCAUGUGAAUUUACCAGAUCUUUUUAUGAGAAAGUAUUUUUUAAAAACUGUACUGUGGUAACCUCAUGCAUACACCACAGAAAUUUCCUUCACCAAGGUGAAUCCAUGGACCAGUGACAGCCAGUCCUUCACAUGGUUGUGCGGCUGUGGCGAGCAGCUCCAGAACCUUCCCCCUUGCCAUGUGACCUCAACGCCCCUAUUGUGAACCCCUCCACCUCCCCGCACUGCUCCUGACAGUGCCCUCCGCCCUAAGCCUUCAGGAACUCAGGACUCUCCUCUGUGAGACACGCCAAAUCCUACAGUGCUUGUUUUUGGUUUUGCUUUUUGCUGAUUGGCUUCCCAUAAUACCUUUAAGCUUCUCUCAUGGUUUAGUGUGUGCCCAAUUUUUCUUCUUUUUUGAAGGAUAUUAUUAUGACAGUAUUACAUGUUAGUGUUUAUGUGUAAGUAGCUCUGAGCCCGAGGGGUUUGGCUUUAGUUACUGCAGGACUAGGUAAGUGGUAAAGGGGACCUUUCAGGCAACUUCAGUCUUGACCAGAAGGAAGAAGAGUAGCUUGGGAUUCACUGUAAGAAAAGAACUGGGAGCAAAAGUGUGUACUGGCGGGGCACACUGUGCUCGUGCCCCAGCCCUGUGGUGGUCCCCAGCUGCUUCUGCCUGGGCAGCUGCUGUGGACACAGAUGCCCAAGUCUUUUGGAGGCCCUGCCCUGGCCCACAGGAGGACAGAGUUGGUAGGUGGUGGCACUGAGGUCAGACUCCUCAACUGCAGGGUUUGCACAGUCUUCCAUGGCCUGGUCCCCCCCUUUGUCGCUGUCUUCCUGUCCACACCCCUAUGCACACGUGAGGCUGUGGGUCUCCACUGCUUCCCCUGCUUCCCAAUUUCUCCUGUCAGGCUUGGUACCCUCCUGCCCUCGCUGCGGACGGCUGCGGUGACUCCAGCCUGUGUGAAUGAGCGCAUCUCCCAGGCCUGACUGCCCUUCAGAGUAGGAAACAGUUCCCUGCAGGGUGCGGGAACCUUUCUCCUGGAACUGGGCUUAAAGGUUAGAAAAACAGCGAUGAACAAUGUGUUGUGUAGACAAGGCUAAAAACUGUGGUUUCCUUUCCUGCAAAAGGAUUCCUGACAAGCCGAUGGAUUACAAAGUCCUCGAUAUUGCUGAGAGGAAAAGGAGGCAAAGUAAAAAGCCAGAUGGGAAUCGUGGGUCAUCGAGCCCCAAGGCCACACACACCCUCAGAUUUGAUUUUCAUGGUUGUGCUUCCUGGUUCCAACUAUGAUGAAAAUAAAAAUGCCAGCCAUAUAUGAAGUGGGCAUCUUUUGUCUUUCUAAAGUAGCCCCAAAUGGCCACAUGAAUCUUGCUCAGAUGUCCACCAAAAGGACAUGGGAUUCCAUCCUUUCAGCCACCAGCAGGAUUCUGACAGUUAGACCUUACCUAUGAUAACCUCACUCUACAUGGACCAUCCUGGAUUUAACUAUGCUUUGGUUAUGUAAAACUCUCUCUUGCUAGUUCACAUCAAUUUUUUUUAAAAACAUCGAGAUUCUAACCUCUUGGCCUCCUUUGAUAGAAGAAACCUCAAAUGUUAAAGUCUGAGAUACUGAUGCGUUGCUCACCAGGCAAACCCUGGAGACCCCACCCCAACUCUGCCUGAGUGUGGAGGAGAGAAUUCCAGUGCAGCUUUGUGAGUAAAUCAGGAAGCCCAGCUAGCAGACAGGGACAAGAGCGUAACUUUUUCUUAUUCUUCAGUAUAUUUAUUUUGGUUGAAGUAUGGAAAAGGGGGAGAAAGCUAAUCAUCUGUAACCUGUACAUCUAAAAGUUCUGUCCAAUCAAGCUGAUGGUUUUGAUUAACAUGCUGGAUGAUUUCCUAGUAGAUUCACACGACCUUAGGAAAAGGUCCAUUUGCUGUUUUACAAAAACAGCUGACAGGGUCUCCAGCAACUGCCCCCGCCCCCAAAGAGGAGGAAGGCAGACGGGAGACAGCGGGGCUGGGUCCUGCCCAGCCUCACAGGUGGCUGUGUGACACUCAUCCCACUGGGAAAUGAGAGGGGAGCCCGGCUGCGCAGGGCAGGACCGGCACUAAGACAGCUGCCAGCAGCAAACAUGAGUCUGGCGGGCCUGGAUCUGAGCUCUCCCGCAGUUUGCUUUGAUAGUUCUCUACUAUCUUGUUUCUUAAUGAUGAAAUCAUAGUUUGUUCAUCUGACCGAAUAAAGA